UUCCAAAGUGCAUCAUGUAAAUGCCCUGGUUUAGAGAUAUUUUCCUAACACACAGGAAACUGUGUUCACAUGAACGAUUGAUUUAUACAUUUAGCUGGGUAAUGUAACAGUGUUGUCCUGUCUCUUCAACACAGGGGUAUUUAUGAGGGUGCUGAUACUGUCAGUUGUCACUGAUCCUAUCCCUGCUCAAAACCCUGAGGUCUUCACUUUGGUGGUCCCUCAUGGUCCGAUCUUGACCCGGAUAAACGACCUCCCUCUCCAUACCUUGUGAACUCUCACCUCUCUUCAGUGCAGAGCCGUUGGAGGUGCGUUGGUACCGGCCUGGAUGCUGUGGUCCUUGUAUAACAAGGCAGGUCGGUUGAAGUUACCAGGCAUCUAUGGACCCCUGUUACAGGAGCAGGGUGUCUCUAACUGGGGGGCUGGAGAGAGGGAACGUGUCCCUGACACUGGAGAGGGUCACACUGGAAGACAGGGGGGAGUAUGUGUGCCGUGUCAGCAGCGAACAGUGAUAUGAAAAGGCCAGUGUGUCCCUCACACUGAUUGUAUUAGGUGGUAUCCCAGUUUUGUCUCUUGCUGAAGCAAGAGGAGGAGGAGGCCAGGUGAACAUCACCUGUUCAACAGUGGGCUGGUCACCUCAACCGACACUCACCUGGAAAAACAAAGGCGCAGAGCUCAGAAAUGUACAAGAAGUACUCUACACACAUGAGUCUCUGGCAUGGCUGUCAACACAAAAAAAAGGCAAAGGCAGCCCAGAAGUUGAGCUCGAGCAGAGGCCAGAUACAAGGCACCUAAUUUGAAGACUGGCUCCAGGUGAAAGGAUUCAAAGAGAACAUCACCAUGGAUGUCCAGACUGCUUCCCUUGCUUUUAGAGUGAGUGUAAAAGGGGGGAAAAGCUCAGUA